UACGUAGGGUGCAAGCGUUAAUCGGAAUUACUGGGCGUAAAGCGUGCGCAGGCGGUGAUGUAAGACAGAUGUGAAAUCCCCGGGCUCAACCUGGGAACUGCAUUUGUGACUGCAUCGCUGGAGUGCGGCAGAGGGGGAUGGAAUUCCGCGUGUAGCAGUGAAAUGCGUAGAUAUGCGGAGGAACACCGAUGGCGAAGGCAAUCCCGUGGGCCUGCACUGACGCUCAUGCACGAAAGCGUGGGGAGC
rnacentral:rRNA from 1 species